rnacentral:rRNA from 1 species
UCUUUUCCUUUUUUUCCAGCAGCCGCGGUAAAACGUAGGUCACAAGCGUUGUCCGGAAUUACUGGGUGUAAAGGGAGCGCAGGCGGGAAGACAAGUUGGAAGUGAAAUCUAUGGGCUCAACCCAUAAACUGCUUUCAAAACUGUUUUUCUUGAGUAGUGCAGAGGUAGGCGGAAUUCCCGGUGUAGCGGUGGAAUGCGUAGAUAUCGGGAGGAACACCAGUGGCGAAGGCGGCCUACUGGGCACCAACUGACGCUGAGGCUCGAAAGUGUGGGUAGCAAACAGG